CUGCUCUACUCUACACUCACGACUGUGGUGAAACACAGCUCAAACACCAUCCAUAUAUUCACUGGUGACACUGCCACUGUAAUGGGGAGGCUGAGGAGUGAAUAACAACAACCUCACAAUCAUCAUCAGCAAGAUCAAGAAAUCAAUUAUGGAGACACCAGAGGUUCUACUUAUUUUGAGGAGAUUUGAGGCAGAAAUGAGGAUCCUGAAGCACACAUGGGACACGGUAGAGACUAUGGCCAAGAAAAGACAGAGGCAGAGGACCUCCAUUGGAGCUCUGUGUGCCAGUGGCAUAACGGAUAGUAAGUAAGUAAAGAAAUGCACCCUGCUUGGUGUGACAGCUCCUUUGCAUGGGACUGUACGAAUCUGCAGAGAAUUGUGGACACAGCUCAGCACAUGGAAACCAGUUUCUCUUUCAUGGACCCUGUCUACACUUCUUGCGGCCUCAGUAAAGCAACAAACAUAAUCAAAGGCCCCUCCCACCAUGCAUAUUAUCUCUGCUUCUCCUCCCAUUGGGCAGAAGAUACAAAAGCCUGAAAGCAUGUACCUCCAGGCUCGAGGACAGCUUCUGUUGCAAGACUUUUGAACAUAGAACAUAGAAUAGUAUGGAACAUUACAGGCCCUUCGGCCCACAAUGUUGUGCCAACCCUCAAACCCUGCCUCCCAUAUAACCCCCCACCUUAAAUUCCUCCAUAUACCUGUCUAGUAAUCUCUUAAACUUCACUAGUGUAUCUGUCUCCACCACUGACUCAGACAGUGCAUUCCACGCAUCAACCACUCUCUGAGUGAAAAACCUUCCUCUCAUAUCCCCCUUGAACUUCCCACCCCUUACCUUAAAGCCAUGUCCUCUUGUGUUGAGCAGUAGUGCCCUGGGGAAGAGGCGCUGGCUAUCCACUCUAUCUAUUCCUCUUAUUAUCUUGUACACCUCUAUCAUGUCUCCUCUCAUCCUCCUUCUCUCCAAAGAGUAAAGCCCUAGCUCCCUUAAUCUCUAAUCAUAAUGCAUACUUUCUAAACCAGGCAGCACCCUGGUAAAUCUCCUCUGUACCCUUUCCAAUGCUUCCACAUCCUUCCCAUAGUGAGGAGACCAGAAAUGGACACAGUACUCCAAGUGUGGCCUAACCAGAGUUUUAUAGAGCUGCAUCAUUACAUCGCCACUCUUAAACUCUAUCCCUCAUGAAAGCUAACACCCCAUAAGCUUUCUUAACUACCCUAUCCACCUGUGAGGCAACUUUCAGGGAUCUGUGGACAUGUACCCUGAGAUCCCUCUGCUCCUCCACACUACUAAGUAUCCUGCCAUUUACUUUGUACUCUGCCUUGGAGUUUGUCCUUCCAAAGUGUACCACCUCACAUUUCUCCGGGUUGAACUCCAUCUGCCACUUCUCAGUCCACUUCUGCAUCCUAUCAAUGUCUCUCUGCAAUCUUCGACAAUCCUCUACACUAUCUACAACACCACCAACCUUUGUGUCAUCUGCAAACUUGCCAACCCACCCUUCUACCCCAAAUCCAGGUCGUUAGUAAAAAUCACGAAAAGUAGAGGUCCCAGAAUAGUUUCCUAGUAUGAUAAGGUGGACUCUUGACCUCACCGUCUGCCUUGUUUUGAUACUGCAUUUUAUUUUCUACCUGCACUACACUUUCUCUGUAGCUGUUACACUUUAUGUAGCGUUCUUAUAUUGUUUACCUUGUACUACCUC